CCCAGAAGUUCAAUGUCAUAUUAGGGGUUCGAUCUCUGUCUUGACUCCGGCCUGAGAAUCAAACCAAAUAUUUUGUUGGUUGCGCCCCCUUCAGUGGUUUCCAUCUUAAAAAAGAAAGCUUGUUUGGCUCUUAACGAGUACGAGUGAAAGCCUCCUUUUAUCUUCAUCGAUCGUGAUGGUGAAUAGUUAGUUGAUAAGGGAACAACUAAACGAAAAGUAGAAGAGAUCUUAUUCGCCGAUGGGGUCGAAGUGGUAGUAUUUUAUCUUCAUCGAUCGUGAUAGUGAAUAGUUAGUUGAUAAGGGAACAACUAAACUAAAAGUAGAAGAGAUCUUAUUCGCCGCUUGGGUCGAAGUGGUAGUCAACUUAAGCUUUUUAUGUCAAGUAAAGCGACUAAGCUAGUCACUAAACAACUAUUUCAACCUUCCUUUCUUCCUUUAGGGGUGGUUACGUUCGUCGUACCUACUAUGAAUAGAGAAAACUAUCCCCAUUGCACUCACUAGCAGCCCAGGUCUUUCCAUUCUACAUGUGGAAUUAUCUACUGGUUCUCGUCCACUUACCGUUGACCUCGAGCAGUAGCGCUGGCAUGUAAUAAGUUUCUGAUCCAACUUCUCCCCUUUUGUUGGUUUAUU
rnacentral:lncRNA from 1 species